rnacentral:rRNA from 1 species
UACGGAGGGGGCUAGCGUUGUUCGGAAUUACUGGGCGUAAAGCGCACGUAGGCGGCUUUGCAAGUUAGAGGUGAAAGCCCGGGGCUCAACUCCGGAAUUGCCUUUAAAACUGCAUCGCUAGAAUUGUGGAGAGGUAAGUGGAAUUCCCGGUGUAGUGGUGAAAUGCGUAGAGAUCGGGAGGAACACCUGUGGCGAAGGCGGCCGGCUGGGGGUGCCCUGACGCUGAGGCGCGAAAGCGUGGGGAGCAAACCGG